UGACUGUCGGAUGUCAAAAGGACACAGAUGUGUUUACAGGCGAGAGAGAAACAACUUGAUACACUGCUCUCUAAAACCUGGAUCAGGAGAAGGUAGCUGUUUUUGUUUGAGAAGCUGUGUGCUGAUGGACGGGACUAUGAUCAGGAAGGGGAAGAUGGUCAGUAGGCCGUGUAGUAACCGUACCUGUGUAAUACCGAUACAUAACAAGGCUUCGUGUGUCGACAACAAGGCGGAUUGUCAGCAAACAGUCAUGGUCUAGCAGGGCAGUAUACAACAAUAAAACGUACAUUGUAUGU